AAUGGUCUUUAAGAGGAGGACAUUUCACUCACUACAGGACUAGAGAGAGAGGAGCAUGCUGUGAGGGGUUAUUACAGAGAGAGAGAGAGGAGCAUGCUGUGAGGGGUUAUUACAGAGAGAGAGAAAGGGAGGGAGGGUGAAAGGGAGAGCGUAGGGGAGGGAUAGUGGGACAGUGAGCUGAAGAGAUACAGAGUAUAUCAAGAGGCAGAGAGAGACCGGUACACGUCGAGCCUUCCCAAGAAAAUGACCAAUUUCGCAGGCACUUGGAAAAUGAGAAGCAGUGAGAAUUUUGAUGAACUACUCAAAGCACUUGGCGUCAAUGCUAUGUUGAGGAAGGUGGCUGGUGCCGCGGCGUCCAAACCUCACGUGGAGAUCAGGCAGAAUGGGGAGCAGUUCUACAUCAAGACCUCCACCACCGUGCGCACCACCGAGAUCAACUUCCUCAUAGGCCAGGAGUUCAAUGAGGAGACAGUAGAUGGCAGGAAGUGCAAGAGCCUUGCCACAUGGGAGACCGAGAGCAAAAUGUACUGCAGGCAGACUCUCCUGGAUGGCAAUGGCCCAAGGACCUUCUGGACCAGAGAGCUGAAGGGAGAUGAACUCAUACUGGGAGCUAAUGGGCAGCGCCUCAUCCUCCACUAAAACAAGCCUGCUCUCCUUCCGGUGACAAAGGAAUCUGGACCUGGCCAGGAAAACGUAAAUGCAGACCUUUGGGGCAGACGACGUGGUUUGCACACGGAUUUACGUACGAGAAAAUAAAUAACGUAGCUUCAGGACCGACCAGGACCAUCAUAAUGGGCUCCAUCCCCCUUCGUACAGCUGCAGUAACUCUCCAAUACAUCCAUCUUCAGAGAAAUAUUUCAUAGCAUCAUAUAUCAGAUUAAACAGACAUUUACCAUGCUUCAUGUAACUAGACCAAUCAUGCAAUUGUAUUUAGACAUUGUUUCUCAUUCCAACUGCCACUUUAAUAAAACAAUGUUUCGUCCUUA